GAUGAACGCUAGCUACAGGUUUAACACAUGCAAGUCGAGGGGCAGCAUGGUCUUAGCUUGCUAAGGCCGAUGGCGACCGGCGCACGGGUGAGUAACACGUAUCCAACCUGCCGUCUACUCUUGGACAGCCUUCUGAAAGGAAGAUUAAUACAAGAUGGCAUCAUGAGUCCGCAUGUUCACAUGAUUAAAGGUAUUCCGGUAGACGAUGGGGAUGCGUUCCAUUAGAUAGUAGGCGGGGUAACGGCCCACCUAGUCUUCGAUGGAUAGGGGUUCUGAGAGGAAGGUCCCCCACAUUGGAACUGAGACACGGUCCAAACUCCUACGGGAGGCAGCAGUGAGGAAUAUUGGUCAAUGGGCGAGAGCCUGAACCAGCCAAGUAGCGUGAAGGAUGACUGCCCUAUGGGUUGUAAACUUCUUUUAUAAAGGAAUAAAGUCGGGUAUGCAUACCCGUUUGCAUGUACUUUAUGAAUAAGGAUCGGCUAACUCCGUGCCAGCAGCCGCGGUAAUACGGAGGAUCCGAGCGUUAUCCGGAUUUAUUGGGUUUAAAGGGAGCGUAGAUGGAUGUUUAAGUCAGUUGUGAAAGUUUGCGGCUCAACCGUAAAAUUGCAGUUGAUACUGGAUAUCUUGAGUGCAGUUGAGGCAGGCGGAAUUCGUGGUGUAGCGGUGAAAUGCUUAGAUAUCACGAAGAACUCCGAUUGCGAAGGCAGCCUGCUAAGCUGCAACUGACAUUGAGGCUCGAAAGUGUGGGUAUCAAACAGG
rnacentral:rRNA from 1 species